rnacentral:lncRNA from 1 species
CAGCCCUGCAAGAACCAUCUGCUGGAGGCGAGCAGAGGCUGCCUCCUUUGAACGGGACCUGUACCCUCCACUCCCCUACCGCUGCACCACACCAGUCCAUCAUCACACUUAUGAUGUCAUCUUCUCAGAGGCAACCCGUAAACCCCUUGGGGCCCAGAGGCCAUGCCUCACUCGACAGCUCGGGAGAGCCGGGCACAGGGGCAGAAGCGACUUGCCGAGGUCGUGCAGUGACAUGGAGCCACAGCCUGGCUUCCUGACACCCCUUCUGCCUUACCAGGCUGAUGCACAGGUUUGCCAUGUGGGAAUUCCCCAGGCCCACCCUGCUGCCAUGCCCUGGUACCCUGUAAUCUGGAGGCAUGUGGGUGCCUGUCACCCAAG